UACGGGGGGGGCAAGCGUUGUUCGGAAUUACUGGGCGUAAAGGGCUCGUAGGUGGCCAACUAAGUCGGACGUGAAAUCCCUCAGCUUAACUGGGGAACUGCGUCCGAUACUGGAUGUCUUGAGUUUGGGAGAGGGAUGCGGAAUUCCAGGUGUAGCGGUGAAAUGCGUAGAUAUCUGGAGGAACACCGGUGGCGAAGGCGGCAUCCUGGACCAACACUGACACUGAGGAGCGAAAGCCAGGGGAGCAAACGGG
rnacentral:rRNA from 1 species